CCCAAUUCUCACCGUUUUCCUUCGAGCCAGCCCCCACCUUCGUCGAGCUCCUCCCAACCCUCUCCAUCGUACGCCGUUUCCCUUUCUCCCAGCCCCUACCAUUGUUGUUCACCUUCCUCCCAACCCCUACUUCAUCACAGCCCCCAUGAUCGAAGAAGGCAGAAACCCUAGUGUCGCUGAGCUCCUCUAGCGCGUCUCACCGCGAGGAAGAAGAGUAGGCGUCGCGCUCCUCCACUAUCCAGCCACCGUGGAACUUCGAGGAGAGAGAGAGAGGGGUCAAUAGCUAAGCUCGCGUCCGUCACCGCCUCCACUGCCGUCACCGCCGCCGUUGAAGCUCUGCUGCGGCUGCUGCUGCCGUCUGAGCCGCCGCCAGGGGAAGCCGCUGCCGCCAUUACCACGGGUGGAGUCCGCCGUUGAGCUGUGCCCCGUUCAGUUUCACCGUGAGUUUCCUGUCACAAGAGCAAGCCUGAUUAUGUGAGCAAGUCUUAUUCGAAGCAAAAUCCUCUGGGUUUAUAUGAUUUCUGAACACUGCUUGUUGUGAUAGUUACCAAGAAAGAUUGAGUACACCAGAAGAGUAACAUCAUUCAGUAUAGAUGUAGAGAGCAAAAGGGUGACAGUGAUGGGCUACAUUUCUCCAUUGGAAGUCUUUGACAGCAUUUCAAAGCGUGCAAAGAAGGAGGACAAUGAAGAUCCAUCACAAUCUGAGAUGUUUGUUGUAACUCGUACGAGCAAAAAAGGAGAGACUGAUUCGGGAACACAAGAGACAAUUGAACAUCUUCAAAAUUUGAAAGAAGCAGGAUACAAUGAUGAUGACGCAGUUCAAACAGUUUUCGGAAAAGAGAGACAUGGAAGAGUUCGUUUCUAUGGUCGAUCAGUCACAAAAUCCUCUCUUAAAAAGGAGAAGGAAAUCCGACAAAUGCAGCAACAACAUAAUGAAGUGGUUUCAACUAUGGAGAAAAAUUAAAAUAACUUAACUUCCAAGUUGGAUGGUUUAACAAACUUGAUUAAAACGUUGUUGCAACAAGUCAAUCCUGGUAUGAGUGCAGAACAAGUGCAAGUAAUGAUAGAAGCUGCCCAACAAUCUCCGCCUGACGCGAGUAGUGCACCAAAUGAUGCGCGGCGAAGCAUUCCUCCUUCAUUUGGAUCGAACCAUGUAUCAAAGGAUAUCGAAGAAGACAUGAUGUGAUGAAGAAAAUAUGUUCCAUACAAAUAUCACAUGGGAUGGGUCUUACAAUGACCUUAAUUAGUUAUGCAAAUGUAAUAUUUUAAUGUGUUAUGUACUUUUUGAGGUAGUACAUGUAAUUGAAAAAAUUUCACUUUAUUUGGAUUUGUGUUGUUUAGACUAAAGAUUAAAUAUAUCUAUCUUAUAAUGAAACUUUUAUGAUUUAGAUUUCUUUAAUUUCUUAUUUCUAGAUUUAUUUUGUGAUUAUUAUCAUUUUGGGAUGUGAUUAUAAUUUAAAAAAAUUGAAUCUCAUAAACAACAAUAGGCUAUAGUCACCGUUUUAAAAAACCGUGACCAUAGAUAGGGCUAUGGUCAUGUUUUUUAGGGGUGACCAUAGAGGCUAUGGCCACGGUGAAAAAUCGUGACCAUAGAUAGGGCAAAGAGGCUAUGGCCACGGUGAAAAACUGUGACCAUAGAUAGGGUUAUGGUCACGGUUUUAAGGAGGGGGUGACCAU